GGUUCGAUGGUGUAGUUGGUUAUCACGUCAGUCUAACAUUCCAGUUGGUCCACUGAAGGUCUCCAGUUCAAGUCUGGGUCGAAUCA
rnacentral:tRNA from 1 species